AUUGAACGCUGGCGGCAUGCCUUACACAUGCAAGUCGAACGGCAGCACGGGAGCAAUCCUGGUGGCGAGUGGCGAACGGGUGAGUAAUAUAUCGGAACGUGCCCAAUCGUGGGGGAUAACGUAGCGAAAGUUACGCUAAUACCGCAUACGAUCUACGGAUGAAAGCGGGGGAUCGCAAGACCUCGCGCGAAUGGAGCGGCCGAUAUCAGAUUAGGUAGUUGGUGGGGUAAAGGCUCACCAAGCCAACGAUCUGUAGCUGGUCUGAGAGGACGACCAGCCACACUGGAACUGAGACACGGUCCAGACUCCUACGGGUGGCAG
rnacentral:rRNA from 1 species